UCCGGCGUAGCUCAAUGGUAGAGCAGGGCGCUGUUAACGCCAAGGUUGUAGGUUCGAGCCCUACCGCCGGAGCCA
rnacentral:tRNA from 2 species